ACGGGAGGCAGCAGUGAGGAAUAUUGGUCAAUGGGCGCAAGCCUGAACCAGCCAAGUAGCGUGAGGGAUGACUGCCCUACGGGUUGUAAACCUCUUUUGUUUGGGAAUAAAGGAGCCUACGCGUAGGCUUUUGCAUGUACCUUUCGAAUAAGCAUCGGCUAAUUCCGUGCCAGCAGCCGCGGUAAUACGGAAGAUGCGAGCGUUAUCCGGAUUUAUUGGGUUUAAAGGGAGCGUAGGCGGCCGGUUAAGUCUGCGGUCAAAUGUCAGGGCCCAACCUUGGCAUGCCGUGGAUACUGUCCGGCUUGAGUGCACACAAGGAAGGUGGAAUUCGUCGUGUAGCGGUGAAAUGCUUAGAUAUGACGAAGAACUCCGAUUGCGAAGGCAGCUUACUGUAGCGUAACUGUCGCUGAAGCUCGAAAGUGUGGGUAUCGAACAGGAUUAGAUACCCUGGUA
rnacentral:rRNA from 1 species